rnacentral:rRNA from 1 species
CUACGGGAGGCUGCAGUGGGGGAUAUUGCACAAUGGGCGAAAGCCUGAUGCAGCAACGCCGCGUGAAGGAUGACGGAUUUCGGUCUGUAAACUUCUAUCAGCAGGGAAGAAAAUGACGGUACCUGACUAAGAAGCCCCGGCUAACUACGUGCCAGCAGCCGCGGUAAUACGUAGGGGGCAAGCGUUAUCCGGAAUUACUGGGUGUAAAGGGUACGUAGGCGGCUGAUCAAGUCAGAUGUGAAAGCCCGGAGCUCAACUCCGGGAUUGCAUUUGAAACUGGUCGGCUAGAGUGCAGGAGGGGAAAGUGGAAUUCCUAGUGUAGCGGUGAAAUGCGUAGAUAUUAGGAAGAACACCAGUGGCGAAGGCGGCUUUCUGGACUGUAACUGACGCUGAGGUACGAAAGCGUGGGGAGCGAACAGGAUUAGAUACCCUCGUAGUC